AAUAAGUGCAGUUUUAGCACUGUUCAUGUCCAACGUUUGACCGUUCGUCUUAUUUGAAAAAAAGAUUAUGAUUAGUAUUUUUAUUGUUAUUAGAUGAUAAAAUAUGAAUAGUACUUUAUGUGUGACUAAUUUUUUUUAAAUAUUUUUUAUAAAUUUUUCAAAUAAGACAGAUGGUCAAAAAGCUGAGCACGUAUAUCUAUGGCUGCACUUAUU
rfam:Oryza rufipogon genomic scaffold, chr04